CGACCGCCGUCUCAGCCGCCUCAGCCGCGGUCGCCGCCGCCUCGGCCGACUUACGCUCCGCCGCCGCCUUCUCACCCGCCUCGCCCGCCUCGUCCCGACCCCGCCCCGAUCCCGCCAGGGCCUCCCGGCCUCUCCCCGCCGGCCCGCGGGCUCGCCGUCCGGCGCAGGGCAGGGCUGUCUGCGAGAGAGAAGCUCCCCACGUGGUUCUGUGUCGGUGGGCUCCACGACAAAAGUCAACCCUUCUGUAAAUCACCUGCUGUGGUUAUGAUGCUCUGAGUUCAAUACGUCUGCACCUUUGCUGUCUAUGGAUCUGCUCUAACCUUAUAGCCUGCUUAUGGGGGAAGGUGAGUUGCUGUCUGUUGUUGGCAUGUUUGUUUACCAAGAGUAUGUAACGA
rnacentral:lncRNA from 1 species